AAUGAACGCUGGCGGCAUGCCUAACACAUGCAAGUCGAACGAAGCCUUCGGGUUUAGUGGCGCACGGGUGCGUAACGCGUGGGAAUCUGCCCCUUGGUUCGGAAUAACAGUUGGAAACGACUGCUAAUACCGGAUGAUGACGUAAGUCCAAAGAUUUAUCGCCGAGGGAUGAGCCCGCGUAGGAUUAGGUAGUUGGUGUGGUAAAGGCGCACCAAGCCGACGAUCCUUAGCUGGUCUGAGAGGAUGAUCAGCCACACUGGGACUGAGACACGGCCCAGACUCCUACGGGAGGCAGCAGUGGGGAAUAUUGGACAAUGGGCGAAAGCCUGAUCCAGCAAUGCCGCGUGAGUGAUGAAGGCCUUAGGGUUGUAAAGCUCUUCUACCCGGGAUGAUAAUGACAGUACCGGGAGAAUAAGCUCCGGCUAACUCCGUGCCAGCAGCCGCGGUAAUACGGAGGGAGCUAGCGUUAUUCGGAAUUACUGGGCGUAAAGCGCACGUAGGCGGCUUUGUAAGUAAGAGGUGAAAGCCCAGAGCUCAACUCUGGAAUUGCCAUUUAGACUGCAUCGCUUGAAUCAUGGAGAGGUCAGUGGAAUUCCGAGUGUAGAGGUGAAAUUCGUAGAUAUUCGGAAGAACACCAGUGGCGAAGGCGGCUGACUGGACAUGUAUUGACGCUGAGGUGCGAAAGCGUGGGGAGCAAACAGG
rnacentral:rRNA from 1 species